ACCUCAAAUCAGGUAGGAUUACCCGCUGAACUUAAGCAUAUCAAUAAGCGGAGG
rnacentral:rRNA from 1 species